rnacentral:rRNA from 1 species
UACGUAGGGGGCGAGCGUUGUCCGGAUUUAUUGGGCGUAAAGAGCUCGUAGGCGGUUCGGUAAGUCGGAUGUGAAAUCUCCACGCUCAACGUGGAGGGGCCAUUCGAUACUGCCGUGACUCGAGUCCGGUAGGGGAGUGUGGAAUUCCCGGUGUAGCGGUGAAAUGCGCAGAUAUCGGGAGGAACACCAAUGGCGAAGGCAGCUCGCUGGGACGGUACUGACGCUGAGGCGCGAAAGCGUGGGGAGCAAACAGG